UGCAAAUUAGUUGUAUAUAUUUCAUUUCAGUAGCACAUCACAUGAAUUACAAUACAUCAUCCAUCGACUCCUCUACACAUAAAGGUUCAAGGCCCAACAAGUGCACAACAAAAUAGUUCUACAAGUACAGGUGUACAGAAAAAGGACCCAACAAGUGCAUAAUCACACAUCAACAUAGUUCGACAAAGAUUGAAUGAGAAGCACAAGUUUUUGUUGAUCACACAUAACAUCAAUGAUAAACAGAGCUUCUUGUUCCCUCCUCCCGUCCUGUCCUCUACUUCUUCUGGGUGCUACAGAUCAUCCAAAAUAAUCAAAUGAUAAUGUGUGUGCAUGGGUACUUCUUUACUGUGCUAGCAUACUCUCUUUUUUAUUUUCCUGUAUCACAUAAAUUCUUCCCAUUUUGUGAAAU
rnacentral:lncRNA from 1 species